rnacentral:rRNA from 1 species
GGGCGCGAGACAACUCUCUCUAAGGAACUCGGCCAAAUUACCUCGUAACUUCGGAAGAAGAGGUACCCCUUCACGGGGGUUGCAAUAGAUUGACCCUGGCGACUGUUUACCAAAAACACAGGUCUCCGCUAAUUCGUAAGAAAAAGUAUGGGGGCUGACGCCUGCCCAGUGCCGGAAGGUUAAAGAAGUUGGUUAGUCCUUGGACAAAGCUAGCGACUGAAGCCCCGGUGAACGGCGGCCGUAACUAUAACGGUCCUAAGGUAGCGAAAUUCCUCGUCGGGUAAGUUCCGACCCGCACGAAAGGCGUAACGAUCAGGGUACUGUCUCGGAGAGAGGCUCGGCGAAAUAGACAUGUCUGUGAAGAUGCGGACUACCUGCACCUGGACAGAAAGACCCUAUGAAGCUUUACUGUAUCUUGGAAUUGGGUUUGGUCUUUGCAUGCGCAGGAUAGGUGGGAGGCUUUGAAGAUGAUCUUGCGGGGUCGUUGGAGCCACUGGUGAGAUACCACCCUUGCAAUGAUAAAAUCCUAACUUUGAACCGUUAUCCGGUCAAAGAACAGUUUCAGGUGGGCAGUUUGACUGGGGCGGUCGCCUCCUAAAAGGUAACGGAGGCGUGCAAAGGUUCCCUCAGGCUGGUUGGACAUCAGUCGUAGAGUGUAAAGGCAUAAGGGAGCUUGACUGCGAGACCAACAAGUCGAGCAGAGACGAAAGUCGGCCUUAGUGAUCCGGCGCUUCCGAGUGGAAGGGGCGUCGCUCAACGGAUAAAAGUUACUCUAAGGAUAACAGGCUGAUCUCCCCCAAGAGUUCACAUCGACGGGGAGGUUUGGCACCUCGAUGUCGGCUCAUCGCAUCCUGGGGCGGUAGUACGUCCCAAGGGUUGGGCUGUCCGCCCAUGAAAGCGGUACGCGAGCUGGGUUCAGAACGUCGUGAGACAGUUCGGUCCAUAUCCGGUGCAGGCGUUAGAGUAUUGCGAAGACUCCUCCUUAGUACGAGAGGACCGGGGGGAAUGCACCGCUGGUGUACCAGUUAUCGUGCCAACGGUAAACGCUGGGUAGCCAAGUGCAGUUUGGAUAACUGCUGAAAGCAUCUAAGUAGGAAGCCAGCUUCAAGAUGAGUACUCUCACCGCUUCAAGCGGGUAAGAUCACGGCAAGAACAGCCGUUUGAUAGGCAUCAAGUGUAAGUGCAGUAAUGUAUUCAGCUGAGAUAUACUAAUAGAUCGAGGGCUUAUU